GACGAACCGUACGAACGUUAUUCGGAAUCACUGGGCUUAAAGGGUGCGUAGGCUGCGCGGAAAGUUGGGUGUGAAAUCCCUCGGCUCAACCGAGGAACUGCGCCCAAAACUACCGUGCUCGAGGGAGAUAGAGGUGAGCGGAACUUAGGGUGGAGCGGUGAAAUGCGUUGAUAUCCUAAGGAACACCCGUGGCGAAAGCGGCUCACUGGGUCUCUUCUGACGCUGAGGCACGAAAGCUAGGGUAGCGAACGGG
rnacentral:rRNA from 1 species